AAUACAUGCAAGUCGAGCGGACAGAAGGGAGCUUGCUCCCGGACGUUAGCGGCGGACGGGUGGGUAACACGUAGGUAACCUGCCCCUUAGACUGGGAUAACUCCGGGAAACCGGAGCUAAUACGGGAUAAUAAAGAGAAUCACCUGAUUCUCUUUUGAAAGACGGCGUCUAGCUGUCACUAAGGGAUGGGCCUGCGGCGCAUUAGCUAGUUGGUAAGGUAACGGCUUACCAAGGCGACGAUGCGUAGCCGACCUGAGAGGGUGAUCGGCCACACUGGGACUGAGACACGGCCCAGACUCCUACGGGAGGCAGCAGUAGGGAAUCUUCCGCAAUGGACGAAAGUCUGACGGAGCAACGCCGCGUGAGUGAGGAAGGCCUUCGGGUCGUAAAGCUCUGUUGUGAGGGAAGAACAAGUACCGGGGUAACUACCGGUACCUUGACGGUACCUCACCAGAAAGCCACGGCUAACUACGUGCCAGCAGCCGCGGUAAUACGUAGGUGGCAAGUGUUGUCCGGAAUUAUUGGGCGUAAAGCGCGCGCAGGCGGCUUCUUAAGUCUGAUGUGAAAUCUCGGGGCUCAACCCCGAGCGGCCAUUGGAAACUGGGAAGCUUGAGUGCAGAAGAGGAGAGUGGAAUUCCACGUGUAGCGGUGAAAUGCGUAGAUAUGUGGAGGAACACCAGUGGCGAAGGCGACUCUCUGGACUGUAACUGACGCUGAGGCGCGAAA
rnacentral:rRNA from 1 species